AACGAACGCUGGCGGCAUGCCUAACACAUGCAAGUCGAACGAGACCUUCGGGUCUAGUGGCGCACGGGUGCGUAACGCGUGGGAACCUGCCCUUAGGCUCGGAAUAACUCCCCGAAAGGGGUGCUAAUACCGGAUAAUGUCUUCGGACCAAAGAUUUAUCGCCUUUGGAUGGGCCCGCGUUGGAUUAGCUAGUUGGUAGGGUAAAAGCCUACCAAGGCGACGAUCCAUAGCUGGUCUGAGAGGAUGAUCAGCCACACUGGGACUGAGACACGGCCCAGACUCCUGCGGGAGGCAGCAGUGGGGAAUAUUGGACAAUGGGCGAAAGCCUGAUCCAGCAAUGCCGCGUGAGUGAUGAAGGCCUUAGGGUUGUAAAGCUCUUUUACCCGGGAUGAUAAUGACAGUACCGGGAGAAUAAGCUCCGGCUAACUCCGUG
rnacentral:rRNA from 1 species